AAGUUACUAAAAUACUCUUUCUUGUAUUUUCAAAAUACAUGCUUUAAUACAAUAAGCUAAGUAACU
rnacentral:tRNA from 1 species